CUAGCUGGUUAGGAUACUCGGC
rnacentral:siRNA from 1 species